rnacentral:rRNA from 1 species
GAUGAACGCUGGCGGCGUGCCUAAUACAUGCAAGUCGAGCGCACAGACGAGGUGCUUGUUCCUCUGACGUUAGCGGCGGACGGGUGAGUAACACGUGGAUAACCUACCUUUAAGCCUGGGAUAACUUCGGGAAACCGGUGCUAAUACCGGAUAAUAUAUUUAACCGCAUGGUUCAAUAGUGAAAGACGGUUUUGCUGUACCUUAUAGAUAGAUCCGCGCCGAUUUAGCUAGUUGGUAAGGUAACGGCUUACCAAGCCAAGGAUCAGUAGCCGACCUGGGAGGGUAAUGGGCCACACUGGAACGAGAACAGGGUCCAGACUCCUACGGGAGGCGGAAGAAGGGAAUCUUCCGCAAUGGGCGAAGGCCUAACGGGGCAACGCCGCGGGAGGAAGGAAGGUUUUCGAAUGUUAAAACUCUGUGAUAAAGGAAAAACAAAUGUGUAAGUAACUGUGCACGACUUGACGGUACCUAAUCAGAAAGCCACGGCUAACUACGUG